rnacentral:rRNA from 1 species
UGCUUUACACAUGCAAGUCGAACGGCAGCACGAGAGCUUGCUCUUGGUGGCGAGUGGCGAACGGGUGAGUAAUAUAUCGGAACGUAUCCAAUAAUGGGGGAUAACUAAUCGAAAGGUUAGCUAAUACCGCAUACGCCCUACGGGGGAAAGCAGGGGAUCUUCGGACCUUGCGUUAAUGGAGCGGCUGAUAUCUGAUUAGCUAGUAGGUGAGGUAAAGGCUCACCUAGGCUUCGAUCAGUAGCUGGUCUGAGAGGACGACCAGCCACACUGGAACUGAGACACGGUCCAGACUCCUACGGGAGGCAGCAGUGGGGAAUUUUGGACAAUGGGCGCAAGCCUGAUCCAGCCAUUCCGCGUGAGUGAAGAAGGCCUUCGGGUUGUAAAGCUC